rnacentral:misc_RNA from 1 species
AACCAUAGAAACCUGCGGAGUACCUGCGGAAGGAUCAUUAUAGUAUAUGGAAUCUCCAUUCUAUAAACCCACUCUGCGUAUCUUGUAACUGUUGCUUCCAUGGGACUUGGUUCCGCCACACCGGCUUCACGGCUGGUGAGCGCCCAUGGAAGGAGAAACAAAACUCUUCUUUGAAAUGUAGUCAGUCUGAACAAGUUUUUAUAAACGUUGAAACUUUUAGCAAUGGAUCUCAGAUCGGAA